UACGUAGGGGGCUAGCGUUGUCCGGAAUCAUUGGGCGUAAAGCGCGUGUAGGCGGUCCGAUAAGUCCGCUGUGAAAGUCGAGGGCUCAACCCUCGAAUGCCGGUGGAUACUGUCGGGCUUGAGUACGGGAGAGGCGAGUGGAAUUCCUGGUGUAGCGGUGAAAUGCGCAGAUAUCAGGAGGAACACCAACGGCGAAGGCAGCUCGCUGGGACGGUACUGACACUGAGGCGCGAAAGCGUGGGGAGCGAACAGG
rnacentral:rRNA from 1 species